rnacentral:tRNA from 1 species
GGGUGUAUAGCUCAGUGGUAGAGAGCAUGCUUAUCAUGCAUGAGGUCCUGAGUUCAAUCCCCAGUAUCUCCA